rnacentral:rRNA from 1 species
GAUCAUGGCUCAGGAUGAACGCUAGCUACAGGCUUAACACAUGCAAGUCGAGGGGCAUCAGGAAGAAAGCUUGCUUUCUUUGCUGGCGACCGGCGCACGGGUGAGUAACACGUAUCCAACCUGCCCUUUACUCGGGGAUAGCCUUUCGAAAGAAAGAUUAAUACCCGAUGGCAUAAUGAUUCCGCAUGGUUUCAUUAUUAAAGGAUUCCGGUAAGGAUGGGGGAUGCGUUUCCAUUAGGUUGUUGGGUGAGGG